rnacentral:rRNA from 1 species
GGACAAGGUCCCAAGGGUCGGUCUGUUCGCCCGUUAAAGCGGUACGUGAGCUGGGUUCAGAACGUCGUGAGACAGUUCGGACUCUAUCCACCGUGGGCGUAGGAGACUUGAGAGGAGCUGUCCCUAGUACGAGAGGACCGGGAUGGACGGACCUCUGGUCCACGAGCUGUUGCGCCAGCAGCACCGCUCGGUAGCCAUGUCCGGAAGGGAUAACCGCUGAAAGCAACUAAGCGGGAAGCCCCCCUCAAGAUUAGGUCUCCCGUUCAAUUCAGGGGCAACCCUGAAUUGACCUGAAGACUACCGGUAGACUACCGGUUUGAUAGGCCACAGGUGUAAGUGCAGUAAUGCAUUGAGCCGAGUGGUACUAAUCAGUCGUGCGACUUGAACC